GGCCUACUCUUAGUCUUCUGCUUCUUCACAAGCUUCUUCAUCUUUUUUCAAGUAGAUUUUCUCUUGAAAGAUGAAGCCUGGUCCACAACAAGAAUGGUGCCCCUUGAACUCUUCAAGGUUCCUUCAACUAUUACCAACAUGUUCAAUAAUUCAGAUAGGGUGAAAUCAAUUUUAUUCGUAUGGUAGUUUACGAUAAACUGCCCAUACGAAUAGGAAAGGGAUUGUAGUAUCAG
rnacentral:lncRNA from 1 species